rnacentral:rRNA from 1 species
GGCGGCGUGCCUAAUACAUGCAAGUAGAACGCUGAAGGAGGAGCUUGCUUCUCUGGAUGAGUUGCGAACGGGUGAGUAACGCGUAGGUAACCUGCCUGGUAGCGGGGGAUAACUAUUGGAAACGAUAGCUAAUACCGCAUAAUAGCAGUUAUUGCAUGAUAACUGUUUGAAAGGUGCAAUUGCACCACUACCAGAUGGACCUGCGUUGUAUUAGCUAGUUGGUGGGGUAACGGCUCACCAAGGCGACGAUACAUAGCCGACCUGAGAGGGUGAUCGGCCACACUGGGACUGAGACACGGCCCAGACUCCUACGGGAGGCAGCAGUAGGGAAUCUUCGGCAAUGGACGGAAGUCUGACCGAGCAACGCCGCGUGAGUGAAGAAGGUUUUCGGAUCGUAAAGCUCUGUUGUAAGAGAAGAACGAGUGUGAGAGUGGAAAGUUCACACUGUGACGGUUCUACC